rnacentral:lncRNA from 1 species
UUAAAAUAUAAUUAAAGAUGUUUGUAAUCUUUAAAACAUCAAAAGUGGAUUUUGCCUCAACAGGAGUUCCUAGGUAGGAUUUGCACGGGUAGUGUCUAGGCGAUAAGUCGUGAACCGUGGUGUUGGUCGAGAGUUUUGAACUAGAACUAUUAUAGUGGAUUCAUUCCUGGAUUGGUAUCCCCCAGAUUAGGUGACGUUGCACCGAAUUGGGUUAACAAACAAUCUGUCUUAUUUAUCUUUCUGCACUUAAUUUAUUUUUAACUUGUCUAUUGUGUUCUGUACUGGUACGAGAUGUUGUAGCAUCUUUCGCAGCAUAUUUUCGCCAGCCUGCCAGAAUUUCACUCACAAUCAAAAUUUUGUUUUAGAUCUAACAUCAUAAUAAAUCACACAACAAUAUUUAUGAAAGAAAAGAGCAAGAAAAUCAAAACUUAACAAAUUAUUUUUUAGCAUAAAAUCAACCAAUUCAAAUCAAAAAAUUUCUUUUGGAUCUAUCAUUAAAUAUCAUGGAUCUAUAACAUUAACAAAGGAAGUAUUUAAAACUCACACUACACCUAACAAAAGUCCACACGGCCUAAGAGUAAAAAGAGAGAGGGAAAUAUUAUCUUACCCCAAAGCUUGGUUCAAAGUGAUUACCAUGUUGAGGGGAACAACUUUGAUCUUCAUCACUUCUCUUCAUUCCUCUUAGAUCUCUCAUGAUUAAUGUGGAAGAAUAAAAGAAAAUUUCUAAGGAGAAAGAGAGGGAGAGAAGCUACGGUGAGGAGAGAAAAAAGAGAGGGG